rnacentral:rRNA from 1 species
AACGUACGCUGGCGGCACGCCUAACACAUGCAAGUUCGAACGAAGUAGCAAUACUUAGUGGCAGAACGGGUGAGUAACAUGUAGGUAUCUGCCCUUUGGCCCUGGAAUAACACGAGGAAACUUGUGCUAAUACCGGAUAAGUUCUUUACGGAGAAAGCUUUUAUGCCCCAUUGGAUGAGCCUGCACUUUGAUUAGUUUUGUUGGUGGGGUAAUGGCCUACCAAGACUGUGAUUCAAUAGCUGAUUUUGAGAGGAUGAUCAGCCACAUUGGGACUGAGACACGGCCCAAACUCCUACGGGAGGCAGCAGUGGGGAAUCUUGCACAAUGGAGGAAACUCUGAUGCAGCGAUGCCGCGUGAGUGAAGAAGGCCCUUGGGUUGUAAAGCUCUUUCGUCGGGGAAGAAAAUGACUGUACCCGAAUAAGAAGGUCCGGCUAACUUCGUGCCAGCAGCCGCGGUAAUACGAAGGGACCUAGCGUAGUUCGGAAUUACUGGGCUUAAAGAGUUCGUAGGUGGUUGAAAAAGUUAGUGGUGAAAUCCCAGAGCUUAACUCUGGAACUGCCAUUAAAACUUUUCAGCUAGAGUAUGAUAGAGGAAAGCAGAAUUUCUAGUGUAGAGGUGAAAUUCGUAGAUAUUAGAAAGAAUACCAAUUGCGAAGGCAGCUUUCUGGAUCAUUACUGACACUGAGGAACGAAAGCAUGGGUAGCGAAGAGGAUUAGAUACCCUCGUAGUCCAUGCCGUAAACGAUGUGUGUUAGACGUUGGAAAUUUAUUUUCAGUGUCGCAGCGAAAGCGAUAAACACACCGCCUGGGGAGUACGACCGCAAGGUUAAAACUCAAAUGAAUUGACGGGGACCCGCACAAGUAGUGGAGCAUGUGGUUUAAUUCGAAGAUACGCGCAGAACCUUACCAACACUUGACAUGUUCGUCGCGACUCUAAGAGAUUAGAGUUUUCGGUUCGGCCGGACGAAACACAGGUGCUGCAUGGCUGUCGUCAGCUCGUGUCGUGAGAUGUUGGGUUAAGUCCCGCAACGAGCGCAACCCUCACUUUUAGUUGCCAUCAUUAAGUUGGGCACUCUGAAAGAACUGCCAGUGAUAAGCUGGAGGAAGGUGGGGAUGACGUCAAGUCCUCAUGGCCCUUACGUGUUGGGCUACACACGUGCUACAAUGGUAUCUACAACAGGAAGCAAGACUGCGAAAGUUAAGCAAAUCCCUAAAAGAUACCUCAGUUCGGAUUGCACUCUGCAACUCGAGUGCAUGAAAGCUGGAAUUACUAGUAAUCGUGGAAUCAGCGUGCCACGGUGAAAUGCGUUCCCGGGUCU